GCCGGGCAUGGUGGCACACACUUGUAAUCCCAAAAGCUCAGGAGGCUGAGGCAGAAGGAUUGCAAGUUCAAGGCCAGCCUCAGUAACUUGAGCCUUAAGCAACUUAGUGAGACUCUGUCUCAA
rnacentral:sRNA from 1 species